CCUACGGGUGGCAGCAGUGAGGAAUAUUGGUCAAUGGGCGAGAGCCUGAACCAGCCAAGUCGCGUGAGGGAAGACGGUCCUAUGGAUUGUAAACCUCUUUUGCCGGGGAGCAAAAAGCGGUACGCGUACCGCAUCGCGAGUACCCGGAGAAAAAGCAUCGGCUAACUCCGUGCCAGCCGCCGCGGGAAUACGGAGGAUGCGAGCGUUAUCCGGAUUUAUUGGGGUUAAAGGGAGCGCAGGCGGCGAGUUAAGUCAGCGGUAAAAUUUCGGGGCUCAACCCCGGCAAGCCGUUGAAACUGGCUUGCUAGAGUGGGCGAGAAGUAUGUGGAAUGCGAGGUGUAGCGGGGAAAUGCAUAGAUAUCACGCAGAACUCCGAUUGCGAAGGCAGCAUACCGGCGCCCAACUGACGCUCAGGCACGAAAGCGUGGGGAUCGAACAGGAUUAGAUACCCUUGUAGUC
rnacentral:rRNA from 1 species